NUAAGACACGCAAAUUUAACUUAUUUUAAAUAGAGAUUCUGCUUCAGACCUUGGCUUCAGGUGGAAAAGACCCUGAAAAGAGCUCAAAAACUGGCAACUCGGGGGCGGGCGCAUUUCAGACAUCUUAUGGAUUUUUAAGUAUGUAAAUAUGCCGGACGCUAGGUGUAAUUUCACUGCUAGAGUUAAGUGACGUAUUUCACAUUCCUGUCUACACACACUUCAUGCCAAGCAUAGGCUGGUAAGCAGUUAACUGUCCACCAAACUGCCCUUUAGUUAUGCUGCCUAACAGAGAGAAAACAGAAACCCUGACAAAGCCAAGUUGGGCUGAUGCUUACACACACAUGCUGGUCUAUCGCGGUUCUCAAUGGCGUAAAAACAAACACUGCUUGGGCCUUUACUAAGGUGGGCAAGCGCAGUGUCAAACAUUUUAACUCCUACAACGACCCCAGGAUGGAUACUAUUACCCCCAAUUUUCAGAUGAGGAAACUGAGGUCCAAGAUUACACAGCUGGCACAUAGCAGGUUUGAGAGGCUGACUCGAAGACUCCAGCCCUAGCAACUACAGAGGAUCGAUGCUGCUGCAUUCUCGCCAGGCUAGGGAACAUACUAGAAGUGUCCUGGCAAACAUUUUGUUGGACGGGAAAGUUUCAAAUCUGCCAGAUCCCUUACACCUGGCAGCAUUCAGGCAGCCGCACAGGCAUCAACAAGUCCAGGUGAGACUUCCUUGCUUGGGAAUCCUGGGAACUGCACAUGGAUCCUAAGGGUCUACACAAGAUCCAGGAGAAAGCGCCCGACAGACACCUGGUCCCUGCAGUCACGAAACGCCCGGGACGCCGCGGGGGCGGGAACCUCCGUGCCUCCACACCCCCGCGGCCCGGCCCAGCCGCGCACAGGUGCACCGACCGCCCGCGCCCCCAUGCCGCCCGUCCCGGCUCUACGACCCCGGCCUGGGGAAGCGAGGCGACGGUGAGGAAGGGGCCGAGGGGCGAGGCCGGCUCACAGCCGGACCCCCGGAGGGCGCGCGCGGCGGGGUCGCCCGGAGAAAGGAUGCUCGGGGCGGGGCUGCGGUGGGGGAGGGGUCCCCUGCCCGGACUCUCACUCACCGCCUAGCUCUCCUCCCGGCCCGGGCUCCGCGGCGGUCCCCGCUCCGGCUCUCAACCGCGCGUGUCUCCUCCCGAGGCUCAGCGUCCAGCCGGGACGCGCGGAGCUAUGGAUAAGUCGGCGCGAGCGGAGGGCGUGCAGCGAGCGGAGCUGAGCGGGUGGGAAGGAUGGGACGGUCGCGCUCACCGCUGCCGCCGCGGGGACACCACAGACACGGCCUCGGCCGGCUCCUCUCAGGCACGGAAGCUGCGGGUCCUCCUACCACACCCGCCUCCCGCCCCACCUCCACGCCACGCCCGCUGGAGGAGUGACAGCAGUGCUGACCAAUCUGAGGCCUCGUGGAGGCCGGGAACCACGGACUAAAAGGAGGGAGGGGACGGGAGGGAUACAAGCGAGGCCAGCGUGGCGGCGGGACUUCCUGUGACUGACGGCCCAGCACAGCCAAUGGACAGCGGGGAGAUGACCUCAUUGUCGAGGAAAGUCUGGAACUGGCGGAGUGGCGGUGAGGAGGUGGGAGGAGGUCGGAGACGAGCCGGAGGCGGGGCGCUGUGGCCUUAAAGAGGCCGCAACCCAUUGGUCAUCCAGUCAAGGCAAGGGCGGCGGACCCGGCCAGACCUGGCCAAGUUGCCAAGGGGUCAAUGCUGCCAGAGCUUAGUGCAUUAAUCCUCCAGACCCCAUCACAAUCCUUCUAGGGGGCUGAAGGAUCCCCGCCUGGGGCUCAUAAAUCGAUUACUUAAUUUCACGCUUCCCAAAAGAAGACACAAUAAAUUCCGCACUGGCCCUGAGCCCUGAAUUCCCGUUACAGCCCCCGCCCCACCGAAGCCUGUCGUCCCGUUUCUUUGNNNNNNNNNNNNNNACAGUAAACGGGAGGAUACCGGCACCCACCUAACCCAACUUUACCUGCCCAGAAUGUUGAGAUCAUUAACAGCAAAAGUGCUUUGGGCUUCAAGAAGAAAAGACUGAAUGAACCCAAGGGAGGACUGCACUAGAAGACUCGCGUAAUUCUAUGAUUAUAAGAUGCUGAUUGAUGUCCUCCUCUCUCCGGCAUCCACUCUCCUAGCGAAGGGGUGUGGGGUAGGGGGGUGCGGGUGUGUGUGUGUGUGUGCUGCGUUAGGCGNNNNNNNNNNNNNNNNNNNNNNNNNNNNNNNNNNNNNNNNNNNNNNNNNNNNNNNNNNNNNNNNNNNNNNNNNNNNNNNNNNNNNNNNNNNNNNNNNNNGGGUGUGUGUGUGUGUGUGCUGCGUUAGGCGCAAAGGCCACACAGGGACUUGGUCCAUGACUUCAACAAGGAGAAAGAAAGCGGGCUAAAAGGGAGAGAGAAACAAGGAA
rnacentral:lncRNA from 1 species